GAUGAACGCUAGCGAUAGGCCUAACACAUGCAAGUCGAGGGGGAUCAGUUGGGUAGCAAUACCUGGCUGUGAGACCGGCAAACGGGUGAGGAACACGUACGCAACUUUCCCAAAACUGGUGAAUAGCCCUCCGAAAGGAGGAUUAAUACACCGUAACAUAACGAAAUGGCAUCAUUUUGUUAUUAUAGCAGCAAUGCGGUUUUGGAUAGGCGUGCGCCUGAUUAGGUAGUUGGCGGGGUAACGGCCCACCAAGCCUACGAUCAGUAACUGGUGUGAGAGCACGACCAGUCACACGGGCACUGAGACACGGGCCCGACUCCUACGGGAGGCAGCAGUAAGGAAUAUUGGUCAAUGGACGAAAGUCUGAACCAGCCAUGCCGCGUGAAGGAUGAAGGUCCUCUGGAUUGUAAACUUCUUUUAUCUGGGACGAAAAAAGGGAAUUCUUUCUCACUUGACGGUACCAGAAGAAUAAGCACCGGCUAACUCCGUGCCAGCAGCCG
rnacentral:rRNA from 1 species